GACGAACGCUGGCGGCGCGCCUAACACAUGCAAGUCGAACGGAGCUGAGAGAAGCUUGCUUUUCUUAGCUUAGUGGCGAACGGGUGAGUAACGCGCGAGUAACCUGCCCUGGAGUGGGGGACAACAGUUGGAAACGACUGCUAAUACCGCAUAAGCCCACGAUCCGGCAUCGGAUUGAGGGAAAAGGAUUUAUUCGCUUCAGGAUGGACUCGCGUCCAAUUAGCUAGUUGGUGAGGUAACGGCCCACCAAGGCGACGAUUGGUAGCCGGACUGAGAGGUUGAACGGUCACAUUGAGACUGAGACACGGCCCAGACUCCUACGGGAGGCAGCAGUGGGGGAUAUUGCACAAUGGGGGAAACCCUGAUGCAGCGACGCCGCGUGGAGGAAGAAGGUUUUCGGAUUGUAAACUCCUGUCGUUAGGGACGAUAAUGACGGUACCUAACAAGAAAGCACCGGCUAACUACGUG
rnacentral:rRNA from 1 species